UACGUAGGGUGCGAGCGUUGUCCGGAAUUACUGGGCGUAAAGAGCUCGUAGGUGGUUUGUCGCGUUGUUCGUGAAAUCUCACGGCUUAACUGUGAGCGUGCGGGCGAUACGGGGCAGACUGGAGUACUGCAGGGGAGACUGGAAUUCCUGGUGUAGCGGUGAAAUGUGUAGAGAUCCGGAGGAACACCAGUGGUGCAAACGGCGCCCUGGGUCCGAACUGACGCUGAAGCACGAAAGCGUGGGGGAGCGAACGGG
rnacentral:rRNA from 1 species